rnacentral:tRNA from 1 species
AGACUUAGGUUAACUAACAAACUGUGGAGGUGUGGUCUCUAAGAUUUUUUUUUAAAGUCUA